GGGGGGUUAAAAGCUCCGGCGGUGAAGGAUGAGCCCGCGGCCUAUCAGCUUGUUGGUGGGGUGAUGGCCUACCAAGGCGACGACGGGUAGCCGGCCUGAGAGGGCGACCGGCCACACUGGGACUGAGACACGGCCCAGACUCCUACGGGAGGCAGCAGUGGGGAAUAUUGCACAAUGGGCGAAAGCCUGAUGCAGCGACGCCGCGUGAGGGAUGACGGCCUUCGGGUUGUAAACCUCUUUCAGCAGGGAAGAAGCGAAAGUGACGGUACCUGCAGAAGAAGCGCCGGCUAACUACGUGCCAGCAGCCGCGGUAAUACGUAGGGCGCAAGCGUUGUCCGGAAUUAUUGGGCGUAAAGAGCUCGUAGGCGGCUUGUCACGUCGGAUGUGAAAGCCCGGGGCUUAACCCCGGGUCUGCAUUCGAUACGGGCUAGCUAGAGUGUGGUAGGGGAGAUCGGAAUUCCUGGUGUAGCGGUGAAAUGCGCAGAUAUCAGGAGGAACACCGGUGGCGAAGGCGGAUCUCUGGGCCAUUACUGACGCUGAGGAGCGAAAGCGUGGGGAGCGAACAGGAUUAGAUACCCUGGUAGUCCACGCCGUAAACGUUGGGAACUAGGUGUUGGCGACAUUCCACGUCGUCGGUGCCGCAGCUAACGCAUUAAGUUCCCCGCCUGGGGAGUACGGCCG
rnacentral:rRNA from 1 species